UAAUAUUUUCUUAAAAAUGUGGAUGCCAAUAUGACUAGAAUUAAAACACGGAUAUUAUGUUUAAAGUGGUUCAAAAUACAUCUAAUUGAUGUUUUUUUUUUUUUUUUGAAUAGGAAAAUUGAUAUAUAUUGUUCAAAGAUACUGUAUGUUAGUUGUUAUUUUGACUUUUCAUUGACUUUAAGAAAAUGAAUCUUUGAAAUUUGUUAAUUUAGGAGUUCACAAAUUUAAG
rnacentral:lncRNA from 1 species